rnacentral:rRNA from 1 species
AUGAAAAAGAAAAAGAAAAGAAGGAGCAACAAAGGUAAAAAGGUAUCCCUCCCAAAUGAUGUUGCUCCUACUACUCAUUGUGAUGAUGAUAAUUGCUAUACUAUUGGUGCUAUCCAUACUAUUAAUGAUGAGAAUGAAAUACUUGAGAAUAUAUUUGCUGAAAUUAAUGUUUGUCCCAAGCUUGGGGAUGCUAUGUUUGAUGAAGAUGAUAUUUUUAGCAUCCCAAGUUUUGAUAUGCAAAGUUGUUAUGAUGAUAGCAUGCCUCCUACUUAUGAUGAUUAUAUUGAUGAAAGUGGGUUUGGAAGAGUGUCAACUUUAGGAAUUAGUGAUCCCACUAUUUUGGAGGAUGUUGAAUUUUAUUGUGAUGAAUACAAAAGUGGAUUUGGACGAGUGUCAACUUUAUUUAGUGAUUCCACUAUCUUGGGAGAGGUUUCAAUCGAUUAUGAUGAGAACAACGUUGCUACUUAUGAUGAUUAUUGUGAUGAAACUUAUGCUAUAAAAAGUAGUGAUGAUUAUAUUUAUAAAUCUUGUCAUGAUUAUGAUUACCCUUUUUCUGAACAUUACUCUUUUAAUGUGGAAACAAUUUUUAGUGUUCAAGUCUCUUAUGAUACUCCCACUAUUCUGAAUGAGGAGAAUUUUGCUUAUGUGAAGAGUAGUAAAUUUUCUAUGCUUGUAGAUCAUGAAAAGAAUGAUUUAGUGCUGGUUAUAUUGUUGAAUUCAUUCAUGAUGCUACUGAAAAUUAUUAUGAGGAAGGAAUAUAUGCUUGUACGAAUUGCAAUAAUGUCAAGUUUCCUCUCUAUGUGCUUAAAAUUUCGAAGUUAUGCUUGUUUUGCCUUCCUAUGUUUGUUGAUUAUUAUUCCCAUAAGUUGUUUGUUCACAAAAUCCCUAUGCGUAGGAAGUGGGUUAGACUUAAAUGUGCUAGUCAUAUGCUUCAUGAUGCUCCCGUUAUGUUUCAGUUCUUAUCUUUUAUGUGAGCAUCAUUGUCAUCAUCAUGCCUAG